rnacentral:lncRNA from 1 species
GAUACAAUAAUUAACAGAUGUCGUGUUUCAACUUGGCAUAUUUCUGGCCCAAGUUAUCGCUUUUGCUGGCAGAAGUCCAGGUACGGCCAUAUCAGGCGUUUUUCCUGUAUGAACGCUAAGUGUCUUUUUCAUUUCUAAGCAGAUGUCAUUACAAUUAACUUGGUUCUCCCUACCUACCUGAUCUGUUGGGCCUCAAAGGUACGGUGUGCAAUUUAACCGUAUAGGCCGCACCUUGCGUGGUGGUAGGAAUAUUCUUCUUCCUCCUCCAGCGGCGGAGAAGAUUAUAGUUUUACACAACAUUUAUUUUUGGAUAAGUGUUACGGAGUAAGGUGAAUGCAAGUGCAUUAUGGCCCGCACUGAGCAGGGAAUGCUACAGGUAAAGUUUUUCUUUGCAGGCAUACUGUAUAUUGAUAGGCUGCAUAUCGGUCGUUGAAUCCUGUGCCUGGUUGGUGAAUUCGUGAUGGUCUGAGACUUCGUUUUGGUGAGGCCGAAACGUGCCCGUUCAAUGAGGAGGGCCAACGGCAGCGUAUAACAUUCACGAAGUAUCGGGGGAUGCAUGCCACUUAUGUUGCUGGAUACGUUGGUCGUGCGCAACAGUGCGCAACUGUCUGGCGGUGCACUGUUGGUAUUCGUGAUGAUGUUUUGGUGUUCCGACCCCAAUGAGUACACUUAAUUAUGACAUGUAAACUGAAUACUUCCAUCUAUUCUGUAAUUUCCAACUUCCGCAGGCGGAAUACCCAGUGCGAACUCGCUCAGGGCUCCUCAGGCAUCCGGGCACGGUUUCCGUGCUGUAAACAAUAGAUACCGGCACGCAGAUCACCUACUUUAUCUUGCAAAGCAGAGUUGGUUUCCUACCAGGUCAUGGUUCACCUGGUAAGGAGGAAGGACCUAUCAGAAAACUAUCAAAUUAGCAGGACAGAUGCCCUAGCCUGGGCACUCACAAAAGAAGACAGAGUAGAAUCAUGAAGGCAACCCAAAAUUAAUGUCUCAAUGCUGCUUAAGAGCUAAGGGACAAGCCACACAUGGCCGCAUGAGUUCAUGGGAGAAGUAGUUAAGCAAGACUGAAGCUCAUAAUCAGUCUGUGGGUAAUCUUCUUACGAGCGUUUCGGCAUAUAAAGUAAUAAAUCUUUAGUAAAAAAAUACAUUUUGAUCCUUGAUGUGCUUUUGUCUUUCGCAUGUCUGCUGUACAACCGGAAUAAGCCGACCAAAUUCCAUCUGUUAGGCAGCACUCGACGGGAUGACAAAAAUAUUCUCACACAAUGCUCGCUAUGGUGUAAAUCUUUUACCAGGAGGUUGCGGAUGAGUGGCCGAUUUCUGGAAUCGGCGCAGGAAGGAGGAAUGGGGUCGAAGGCCCCCUACCCUGAGGCUUUUGCCAAAACUUAUUAUAUUAAUACAUUUGCGUAUUUGUCUCUAGUUAAAAUGAUUUGAGGCCUUUUACCUUUUCAGGCAAAGGCGGUUGAGUCUAAAAGUACGGAGCAGAGGCCUUUUGCGUGAUAAGGCUUGUUAAAAGUUAAACUCGACACAGGUUGUUGUGGCCUAGAUAUGCGCUACCCGCACGAUGCCAGGCGCGAAUAUGCCAUGCAGGAUUGCCGACCAUGUCCUGGUCGCAAUAAAUACUAACUAUAUUGACAAAUGUACAAACUUUAUCUCUGCAUAACACUGCUGCUGGUCAUGCGUGGGGUCGCACCUAUCCGGAAAGCAACUGGAGCACUUGGGGUCGCGAAGAAAGUCGAACCUAACAGGUUGCUGGCACUCUCAUAGCUCGGCGAAACCAAGUAAUGCUUUGCAUAGCGCAAAAUUUUACCAGGUAAGAGCGGGCGUCGCAGUUUAUGAAAUGCUCCGCUUUCGUUUUGUGGAAAGAUAGGCCGCACUUUGUAUCCACUCGGCACCAGUAGCAGAAUUAUUUUGGGACUAUACAUGACAUCUGAACGAUGAGUUAAUAUAAGUAAAUUGAGAUUUGUAUACACGACAUGCCUUUGGCUUCGGGGCAAACUGCCUG